UCCUGGCUCAGGAUGAACGCUGGCGGCGUGCUUAACACAUGCAAGUCGAGCGAAGCACUCCAUCAGAUUUCUUCGGAAUGAAGAUGGUUUGACUGAGCGGCGGACGGGUGAGUAACGCGUGGGUGACCUGCCCCAUACCGGGGGAUAACAGCUGGAAACGGCUGCUAAUACCGCAUAAGCGCACGGAGCUGCAUGGCUCAGUGUGAAAAACUCCGGUGGUAUGGGAUGGGCCCGCGUCUGAUUAGGCAGUUGGCGGGGUAAAGGCCCACCAAACCGACGAUCAGUAGCCGACCUGAGAGGGCGACCGGCCACAUUGGGACUGAGACACGGCCCAAACUCCUACGGGAGGCAGCAGUGGGGAAUAUUGCACAAUGGGGGAAACCCUGAUGCAGCGACGCCGCGUGAGCGAAGAAGUAUUUCGGUAUGUAAAGCUCUAUCAGCAGGGAAGAUCAUGACGGUACCUGACUAAGAAGCCCCGGCUAACUACGUGCC
rnacentral:rRNA from 1 species